rnacentral:lncRNA from 1 species
AUGCAAAUCUUCGAGAAGACCCUGACUGGCAAGACCAUCACCCUAGAGAUGGAGCCCAGUGAAACCAUCGAGAAUGUGAAGGCCAAGAUCCAGGAUAAAGAGGGCAUCCCCCCGACCAGCAGAGGCUCAUCUUUGCAGGCAAGCAACUGGAAGAUGGCUGCACCUUCUCUGAUUACAACAUCCAGAAAGAGUCGACCCUGCACCUGGUCCUCUGGCUAUUA